UACGUAGGGUGCAAGCGUUGUCCGGAAUUAUUGGGCGUAAAGAGCUCGUAGGCGGUGUGUCACGUCUGCUGUGAAAAUCCAAGGCUCAACCUUGGACUUGCAGUGGGUACGGGCACACUCGAGUGCGGUAGGGGAGAUUGGAAUUCCUGGUGUAGCGGUGGAAUGCGCAGAUAUUAGGAGGAACACCAGUGGCGAAGGCGCCGCUCUGGGCCGUAACUGACGCUGAGGAGCGAAAGCGUGGGGAGCGAACAGG
rnacentral:rRNA from 1 species